CAGCCGCCACGGGAAUACGAAGGGGGCUAGCGUUGCUCGGAAUUACUGGGCGUAAAGGGAGCGUAGGCGGACUGUUUAGUCAGAGGUGAAAGCCCAGGGCUCAACCUUGGAAUUGCCUUUGAUACUGGCAGUCUUGAGUACGGAAGAGGUAUGUGGAACUCCGAGUGUAGAGGUGAAAUUCGUAGAUAUUCGGAAGAACACCAGUGGCGAAGGCGACAUACUGGUCCGUUACUGACGCUGAGGCUCGAAAGCGUGGGGAGCAAACAGGAUUAGAUACCCCCGUAGUCCCUGUCUCUUAUAC
rnacentral:rRNA from 1 species